GUCAACGUCCACACCAUGUUAAAAGCACCGGUUCUCGUCCGAUCACCGAAGUUAAGUAACAUUGGGCGCGGAUAGUACUUGGAUGGGUGACCGCCUGGGAACUCCGCGUGCUGUUGACU